AGAGUUUGAUCCUGGCUCAGAUUGAACGCUGGCGGCAUGCUUUACACAUGCAAGUCGGACGGCAGCACAGAGAAGCUUGCUUCUUGGGUGGCGAGUGGCGAACGGGUGAGUAAUGUAUUGGAACGUACCGAGUAAUGGGGGAUAACCAAUCGAAAGAUUGGCUAAUACCGCAUACGUCCUGAGGGGGAAAGCGGGGGAUCUUCGGACCUCGCGUUAUUCGAGCGGCCAAUAUCUGAUUAGCUGGUUGGUGGGGUAAAGGCCUACCAAGGCGACGAUCAGUAGCGGGUCUGAGAGGAUGAUCCGCCACACUGGGACUGAGACACGGCCCAGACUCCUACGGGAGGCAGCAGUGGGGAAUUUUGGACAAUGGGCGCAAGCCUGAUCCAGCCAUGCCGCGUGUCUGAAGAAGGCCUUCGGGUUGUAAAGGACUUUUGUCAGGGAAGAAAAGGCUUUUGAUAAUACCAGGAGCUGAUGACGGUACCUGAAGAAUAAGCACCGGCUAACUACGUGCCAGCAGCCGCGGUAAUACGUAGGGUGCGAGCGUUAAUCGGAAUUACUGGGCGUAAAGCGGGCGCAGACGGUUUGUUAAGCAGGAUGUGAAAUCCCCGGGCUCAACCCGGGAACUGCGUUCUGAACUGGCAGGCUAGAGUGUGUCAGAGGGGGGUAGAAUUCCACGUGUAGCAGUGAAAUGCGUAGAGAUGUGGAGGAAUACCGAUGGCGAAGGCAGCCCCCUGGGAUAACACUGACGUUCAUGCCCGAAAGCGUGGGUAGCAAACAGGAUUAGAUACCCUGGUAGUCCACGCCCUAAACGAUGUCGAUUAGCUGUUGGGCAGCUUGACUGCUUAGUAGCGUAGCUAACGCGUGAAAUCGACCGCCUGGGGAGUACGGUCGCAAGAUUAAAACUCAAAGGAAUUGACGGGGACCCGCACAAGCGGUGGAUGAUGUGGAUUAAUUCGAUGCAACGCGAAGAACCUUACCUGGUCUUGACAUGUACGGAAUCCUCCAGAGACGGAGGAGUGCCUUCGGGAGCCGUAACACAGGUGCUGCAUGGCUUUCGUCAGCUCGUGUCGUGAGAUGUUGGGUUAAGUCCCGCAACGAGCGCAACCCUUGUCAUUAGUUGCCAUCAUUAAGUUGGGCACUCUAAUGAGACUGCCGGUGACAAACCGGAGGAAGG
rnacentral:rRNA from 1 species